UGAGGAAUAUUGCGCAAUGGGCGAAAGCCUGACGCAGCGACACCGCGUGGAGGAUGAAGGUCUUAGGAUUGUAAACUUCUGUUAAGUGGGAAGAAAGACUUGCGAGUAAUAUGCGCAGGGGAUGACGGUACCACUAGAGAAAGCACUGGCUAAUCUCGUGCCAGCAGCCGCGGUAAUACGAGAGGUGCAAGCGUUAUUCGGAUUUAUUGGGCGUAAAGGGUGCGUAGGCGGCAUGUUAAGUCUGUUGUUAAAUUUCCCGGCCUAACUGGGAAUCGGCGGCAGAUACUGAUGUGCUAGAGGGUGGAAGAGAGAAGUGGAAUUCUUGGAGUAGCGGUAAAAUGCGUAGAUCUCAAGAGGAACACCGAUGGCGAAGGCAGCUUCUUGGUCCAUUUCUGACGCU
rnacentral:rRNA from 1 species